CCUCCCACCCGUGUUUACUGUACCUUAGUUGCUUCGGCGGGCCCGCCAUUCAUGGCCGCCGGGGGCUCUCAGCCCCGGGCCCGCGCCCGCCGGAGACACCACGAACUCUGUCUGAUCUAGUGAAGUCUGAGUUGAUUGUAUCGCAAUCAGUUAAAACUUUCAACAAUGGAUCUCUUGGUUCCGGCAUCGAUGAAGAACGCAGCGAAAUGCGAUAACUAGUGUGAAUUGCAGAAUUCCGUGAAUCAUCGAGUCUUUGAACGCACAUUGCGCCCCCUGGUAUUCCGGGGGGCAUGCCUGUCCGAGCGUCAUUGCUGCCCAUCAAGCACGGCUUGUGUGUUGGGUCGUCGUCCCCUCUCCGGGGGGGACGGGCCCCAAAGGCAGCGGCGGCACCGCGUCCGAUCCUCGAGCGUAUGGGGCUUUGUCACCCGCUCUGUAGGCCCGGCCGGCGCUUGCCGAACGCAAAUCAAUCUUUUUCCAGGUUGACCUCGGAUCAGGUAGGGAUACCCGCUGAACUUAAGCAUAUCA
rnacentral:rRNA from 1 species